rnacentral:rRNA from 1 species
CNGGUUACCUUGUUACGACUUCACCCCAGUCAUGAAACACAAAGUGGUAAUCGUCCUCCCGAAGGUUAGACUAACUACUUCUUUUGCAUCCCACUCCCAUGGUGUGACGGGCGGUGUGUACAAGGCCCGGGAACGUAUUCACCGCAGUAUUCUGACCUGCGAUUACUAGCGAUUCCGACUUCAUGGAGUCGAGUUGCAGACUCCAAUCCGGACUACGACGUUCUUUAAGGGGUCCGCUCCACAUCACUGUCUCGCUUCCCUCUGUAAAUGCCAUUGUAGCACGUGUGUAGCCCUACACGUAAGGGCCAUGAUGACUUGACGUCGUCCCACCUUCCUCCGGUUUGUCACCGGCAGUCUCCUUAGA